ACUGGAGUGAAAAUACAGAAGUUGGUGCCCUUUGCAGCAGCCAGGAGUCCGACUCCUCCUCUUCCUGUGUGGAACCUGGAAUUCAAACGGCUGGAGUCAAAGAAACUUUGAACUAUUUAUGGCCUUUAAUAAUUAAGUAAGGUAUACUCCUGUGAUCAAGACUUGGAGCAUAUUUGUUUCUCUCUGCCUGGUUCCUCUAGAAAUUGGAAACUAUCAGAACAGAGACCAACUCCGUUUCCCGAUCCCUUUGCAAUCUGCAUUGAACCAUGAGUCAAGUUCUUGAUAAAGGAGUGAAAAUGGAUGACAUUUAAGGCACAUCUGAAGAUGGGGAAACCACAGCACAGAAUAAGGCUGGGCCCUUGAAUCAAUAAAUGAAGGAGAACUACUCAAGAGAACAAAACCACCAGCAAUAUCCACCUGUAUUUGUCUUUUCAUAAUGUGUGACACAUGUGCUCAUGGAUUAUUGUCCGAAGCAAGACAUGUGACCAAGCCUAACAUCAACUGGGUGAAGAGCUAUAUGUUCCUUUCUCAAGAGGCACUACAAGUGACAUGCCACUGG
rnacentral:lncRNA from 1 species